AGACGUAGGGGGCAAGCGUUGUCCGGAAUUACUGGGCGUAAAGGGUGCGUAGGCGGGCGCCUAAGUCAGCGGUGAAAUGCAGCGGCUCAACCGUUGAACUGCCGUUGAAACUGGGCGCCUUGGAUGCGGUCGAGGCCGGCGGAAUGCGUGGUGUAGCGGUGAAAUGCUUAGAUAUCACGCAGAACGCCAAUUGCGAAGGCAGCUGGCCGGGCCGCAAUCGACGCUGAGGCACGAAAGCGUGGGGAUC
rnacentral:rRNA from 1 species